GACGAACGCUGGCGGCGCGCUUAACACAUGCAAGUCGAACGGAAAGGCCCUGCUUCUGUGGGGUGCUCGAGUGGCGAAAGGGUGAGUAACACGUGAGACACCUGCCUUUGACUUUGGGAUAACUUCAGGAAACUGGGGCUAAUACCGGAUAGGAGCUCCUGCUGCAUGGCGGGGGUUGGAAAGUUUCGGAGGUUGGGGAUGGACUCGGGGCUUAGCAGGUUGUCGGUGGGGUAGUGGCUUACGAAGGCGUUGACGGGUAGCGGGCCUGAGAGGGUGACCGGCGACAUGGGGAAGGAGACAACGCCCAGACGCCUACGGGAGGAAGCAGUGGGGAAUAGUGCACUAUGGGCGGAAGCCUGAGGCAGCAACGCCGCGUGCGGGAUGACGGCCUUCGGGUUGUAAACAGCUUGCGCCUGUGACGAAGCGUGAGUGACGGUAAUGGGUAAAGAAGCACCGGCUAACUACGUG
rnacentral:rRNA from 1 species